rnacentral:rRNA from 1 species
ACCGAAUAGAUACCCGGGUAGUCCACGCUGUAAAACGAUGAGAACUAGACGUUGGAAGGAUCUGCCUUUCAGUGUCGCAGCUAAACGCGUUAAAGUUCUCCGCCUGGGGGAGUACGGCCGCAAGGUUGAAAACUCAAAGGAAUUGACGGGGGCCCGCACAAGCGGUGGAGUAUGUGGUUUAAUUCGAUGCAACGCGAAGAACCUUACCUGGUCUUGACAUCCUCGGAACCCUGCAGAGAUGCGGGGGUGCCUUCGGGAGCCGAGAGACAGGUGCUGCAUGGCUGUCGUCAGCUCGUGUCGUGAGAUGUUGGG